CGUUAUCCUAGCUGUGACAAGCAGCUAAUUCGAAGUUUAUUUAUCGUUUCAGAAGAAGUGCAUCUCAGACAAAAGGCGCAUUUUAGUUCUUGAAUGAGAACCAUUACAAUUACACAAAUACUAUGCUAUCUAAAAUUAGAAGUCUCGAAGCGUCCUGCAGAGACCUGGACCCUGGAUUUGAACAGAGACAGAAAUGGGUGCACCAGGUAGUGGAUCAUACUGAACAGUUUAUCACAGGAUUGAAAGAUGACCAUUCACAGGCAUAUCGUACAAAUGACAAAGAAGGAAAGGGUAUCUUUGAGAGUCCGAUCAAUGACAAUCCCACUCGCAUGGACGCAGUCACAGUGACGCUAACUUAGGGGGUAUUAAAAUCAGCUGUCCUAGCAGCCAUAGUUAAGCACGGAUAUAGUAUAGCCGUCGCCGAUUGAAAUGGUAUUAGUGCACCGAAACUGUUCGGCGAAGAUGCUAGGAAACUUUGAAAUCGACAUUUGGUAGAUUACUUACCACGUAACAAGUCUACAGAAGAUAAACACAAAAAGACAUUGGUAAAGGAACAAUCGCACAAUUUAACUCGUUUAUAUUUAUGUACUCGUUAAUUUCAAUAUAUCAUUAUUUGUUGCACAUUUUAGUCUCGCUUUAUUCAAU